rnacentral:rRNA from 1 species
GAUGAACGCUGGCGGCGUGCCUAAUACAUGCAAGUCGAGCGAAUGGAUUGAGAGCUUGCUCUUAUGAAGUUAGCGGCGGACGGGUGAGUAACACGUGGGUAACCUGCCCAUAAGACUAGGAUAACUCCGGGAAACCGGGGCUAAUACCGGAUAACAUUUUGAACCGCAUGGUUCGAAAUUGAAAGGCGGCUUCGGCUGUCACUUAUGGAUGGACCCGCGUCGCAUUAGCUAGUUGAUGAGGUAACGGCUCACCAAGGCAACGAUGCGUAGCCGACCUGAGAGGGUGAUCGGCCACACUGGGACUGAGAUACGGCCCAGACUCCUACGGGAGGCAGCAGUAGGGAAUCUUCCGCAAUGGACGAAAGUCUGACGGAGCAACGCCGCGUGAGUGAUGAAGGCUUUCGGGUCGUAAAACUCUGUUGUUAGGGAAGAACAAGUGCUAGUUGAAUAAGCUGGCACCUUGACGGUACCUAACCAGAAAGCCACGGCUAACUACGUGCCAGCCGCCGCCGUAA